UAAUAAGUGUUUUAUGGCACUUUUUAAAUCCAUAUCCACCUUGUGUGCAAUGUCAGUCGAUCUUCUUUUCAUGGAAUCGACCAAACAUCAACCUUUAUCUUUUAACUCUUUGUCUGAAAAAUAUUAUGAAUAAACAAUUCAAAAUA
rnacentral:misc_RNA from 1 species